rnacentral:rRNA from 1 species
CCUACGGGAGGCAGCAGUGAGGAAUAUUGGUCAAUGGACGCGAGUCUGAACCAGCCAAGCCGCGUGAAGGAAGACGGCCCUAUGGGUUGUAAACUUCUUUUAUAUGGGAGUAAAAUGUUCUACGUGUGUGAGUCUGUAUGUAUCAUAUGAAUAAGGAUCGGCUAACUCCGUGCCAGCAGCCGCGGUAAUACGGAGGAUCCGAGCGUUAUCCGGAUUUAUUGGGUUUAAAGGGUGCGUAGGUGGACUGUUAAGUUAGUUGUGAAAGUUUGCGGCUCAACCUUAAAAUUGCCGUUGAUACUGGCAGUCUGGAGUACAGUAGCGGUGGGCGGAAUGUGUGGUGUAGCGGUGAAAUGCUUAGAGAUCACGAAGAACGCCGAUUGCGAAGGCAGCUUACCAAACUGCUACUGACAUUGAGGCUCGAAAGUGUGGGUAUCAAACAGGAUUAGAUACCCGUGUAGUC